rnacentral:rRNA from 1 species
GACGAACGCUGGCGGCGUGCCUAAUACAUGCAAGUAGGACGCAGUUGCGAACGGGUGAGUAACGCGUAGGUAACUACCUAUUAGAGGGGGAUAACUCUUGGAAACGAUAGCUAAUACCGCAUACUAGUAGAUGGACCUGCGUUGUAUUAGGUAGUAGGUAGGGUAAAGGCCUACCUAGGCAACGAUAAAUAGACCACCUGGGAGGGGGAUCUGCCACACUGGGACCGGGGCACGGCCCAGACCCCCUACGGAGGCAGCAGUAGGGAAUCUUCGGGCAUGGGGGGAACGCUGAACAAGCAACGCCGGCUGAGGGAAGAAGGUUUUCGGAUCGUAAAGCUCUGUUGUUAAGGAAGCGGUACUUAACCAGAAAGGGACGGCUAACUACGUGCCAGCAGCCGCGGUAAUUC